CCCCUCUCAGGGUUGCACCUGGAGAGUUUCCAGUACUUUACCAGUCUCAGCUACUGAAGGGAGAGUCAAGCAGAGGCCUACCCAUUCCAUUCCUAGCUUGGACAGUGGCUAGUUAGUGGAAGGCAAUCUGCUACAAGU